rnacentral:rRNA from 1 species
UCCAGACUCCUACGGGAGGCAGCAGUGGGGAAUAUUGCGCAAUGGGGGCAACCCUGACGCAGCAACGCCGCGUGAUUGAAGAAGGCCUUCGGGUUGUAAAGAUCUUUAAUCGGGGACGAAUUUUGACGGUACCCGAAGAAUAAGCUCCGGCUAACUACGUGCCAGCAGCCGCGGUAAUACGUAGGGAGCAAGCGUUAUCCGGAUUUAUUGGGUGUAAAGGGUGCGUAGACGGGAAGACAAGUUGGUUGUGAAAUCCCUCGGCUUAACUGAGGAACUGCAACCAAAACUAUCUUUCUUGAGUGCUGGAGAGGAAAGUGGAAUUCCUAGUGUAGCGGUGAAAUGCGUAGAUAUUAGGAGGAACACCAGUGGCGAAGGCGACUUUCUGGACAGUAACUGACGUUGAGGCACGAAAGUGUGGGGAGCAAACAGGAUUAGAUACCCGCGUA